rnacentral:misc_RNA from 1 species
GAUGAAGAACGUAGUGAAAUGCGAUAAGUAAUGUGAAUUGCAGAAUUCAGUGAAUCAUCGAAUCUUUGAACGCACAUUGCGCCCCUUGGUAUUCCGAGGGGCAUGCCUGUUCGAGCGUCAUUAUAACCCCUCAAGCUCAGCUUGGUGUUGGGGCCUGCCGCACGGGCAGCCCUUAAAAUCAGUGGCGGUGCUAUCUGGCUCUAAGCGUAGUAAUUCUUCUCGCUAUAGAGUCCCGGUGGAUGCUUGCCAUUAACCCCCAAUUUUCUAUGGUUGACCUCGGAUCAGGUAGGGAUACCCGCUGAACUUAAGCAUAUCAAUAAGCGGAGGA